rnacentral:rRNA from 1 species
GACCCUAUAGAAUUUUAUAUUUUUAUUUUAAAAGGUAUUAGUAUUUAAAACUUUUAUAAGAAAAAGUAUUUGGUUGGGGUGAUUGAAAAAUUAAAUAAACUUUUUUUGUAUUUAUACAUAAAUAAGUGGUUAUAUGAUCCUAUUAUAUAGAUUAUAAGAAAAAAUUACCUUAGGGAUAACAGCGUAAUAUUUUUUAAGAGUUCUAAUCGAAAAAAAUGUUUGCGACCUCGAUGUUGGAUUAAAAUUAAGUUUUGGUGUAGAAGCUAAAUGAUUAGGUCUGUUCGACCUUUAAAAUUUUACAUGAUCUGA